GACGUAGGGCGCAAGCGUUGUCCGGAUUUAUUGGGCGUAAAGAGCUCGUAGGCGGCCUGUCGCGUCGACCGUGAAAACCCGCAGCUCAACUGCGGGCUUGCGGUCGAUACGGGCAGGCUGGAGUUCGGUAGGGGAGACUGGAAUUCCUGGUGUAGCGGUGAAAUGCGCAGAUAUCAGGAGGAACACCAAUGGCGAAGGCAGCUCGCUGGGACGGUACUGACGCUGAGACGCGAAAGCGUGGGGAGCAAACAGG
rnacentral:rRNA from 1 species